rnacentral:misc_RNA from 1 species
GGAACAAUCAUCAUUGAAUGCAUAUUUUUUUUCCCUUUUUGGCAAUUUUUAUUGGUCAUCUGCCCACAUAUUUAACAAUUUUUUUGCUGAAGCUAUUAGCCCAUUUCACUUCUUGUGUAUAGUCAUGUACUCCUUAUUCAAUGAAGCCUAACUAAUAGCAACUGAUGAAUGAAUGUUUGGAUUAAGGGAGUUUUUUUCAAAUACAUGAUCUGUUGGCUAAGGAAUUAAUUUUUCUCUAUUCUCUGUCAUUCACCAUUGAUGCUUAUCUCAUAAUGCUUAUGCAUUUUUUCCCCUGUUCUAUUUCUUUUUCUUUCCUCAAAGUGAACAAUCGUCUUUGGUUUGCAGAUUUACUCAGAUAUCACCAGC